rnacentral:rRNA from 1 species
CCUACGGGUGGCAGCAGUGAGGAAUAUUGGUCAAUGGACGAGAGUCUGAACCAGCCAAGUAGCGUGAAGGAUGACUGCCCUAUGGGUUGUAAACUUCUUUUAUAUGGGAAUAAAACGUUCCACGUGUGGGAUUUUGUAUGUACCAUAUGAAUAAGGAUCGGCGAACUCCGUGCCAGCAGCCGCGGUAAUACGGAGGAUCCGAGCGUUAUCCGGAUUUAUUGGGUUUAAAGGGAGCGUAGGUGGAUUGUUAAGUCAGUUGUGAAAGUUUGCGGCGCAACCGUAAAAUUGCAGUUGAAACUGGCAGUCUUGAGUACAGUAGAGGUGGGCGGAAUUCGUGGUGUAGCGGUGAAAUGCUUAGAUAUCACGAAGAACUCCGAUUGCGAAGGCAGUUCACUGGACUGCAACUGACACUGAGGCUCGAAAGUGUGGGUAUCAAACAGGAUUAGAUACCCCUGUAGUC